CACGUAGGGCGCAAGCGUUGUCCGGAAUUAUUGGGCGUAAAGAGCUCGUAGGCGGUCUGUUGCGUCCGCUGUGAAAACUCGGGGCUUAACCCCGAGCCUGCAGUGGAUACGGGCAGACUAGAGGUAGGUAGGGGAGAAUGGAAUUCCCGGUGUAGCGGUGAAAUGCGCAGAUAUCGGGAGGAACACCGGUGGCGAAGGCGGGUCUCUGGGCCGGUACUGACGCUGAGACGCGAAAGCGUGGGGAGCGAACAGG
rnacentral:rRNA from 1 species